rnacentral:Y_RNA from 1 species
GGCUGGUACCUUUAAAAAAAGGAGGUGUUUACUAUUAAUUGAUCACAGCCAGUUACAGAUUUCUUUGUUCCUUCUCCACUCCCACUGCUUCACUUGAUUAGCCUUAA